ensembl:miRNA
GGUCUGAGGGAGGAGGGCUGGGGCCUGGAACUUUGGUGCUCACCCUUGCCCUUCCUCCUUCCAG